GACCCUAAAAAGUCCUCUAAACACAAAGGUUCGAUCCCAGCCUUGAAAUCAGUUUUUACCCCAUAUACACAUGCAAGUUUCCGCACCCCUGUGAGAACGCCCUUAAUCUCCCUGUUAGGGACAAGGAGCCGGUAUCAGGCGCAAUAAUUAGCCCAAGACACCUAGCCAUGCCACACCCACACGGGCUUCAGCAGUGAUUAACAUUGAACAUAAGCGACAGCUUGAUUCAGUUAAGGUAGAGAGAGCCGGCAAAUCUGGUGCCAGCCGCCGCGGUUACACCACGUGGCUCAAAUUGUAUUCUUCGGCGUAAAGCGUGAUUUAAGUUAACACUAAACUAGAGCCAAACUUAAAUUAAGCUGUGAUAAGCUUGUUAUUUAGGAAGCCCAAAAACGAAAGUUGCUCUAACUUGAUCAACUUGAACUCACGAAAGCUAGGACACAAACUGGGAUUAGAUACCCCACUAUGCCUAGCCAUAAACUUUAAACUACUGCCAAAUCGCCAGGGAACUACGAGCAAAGCUUAAAACCCAAAGGACUUGACGGUACCCCACAUCCCC
rnacentral:rRNA from 1 species